GUUGCUUCUAAUCACUACUGUUUGUGGAGAAACCCUGGAGAAUGACAAGCAAGUGUUACUGAGUUACAAGGAUUUUCUUGAACUGCAAAAUCCGGUUAAUAAAGGAUACAGACAUACAAAAUGGAAUGCUUCUGAUUCCUCUCCAUGUAGUUGGAGUGGAGUUUCUUGUGAUGUUGAUCGUGUUACUCGAAUUGAUCUCUCUGGUGAUGGUUUAGCUGGGAAUAUGUUUAACAACUUCUCAGCUAUGACAGAGUUGACAUAUAUUGACCUGUCUAUGAA
rnacentral:misc_RNA from 1 species